rnacentral:rRNA from 1 species
AGGACGAACGCUUGCGGCGUGCCUAAGAAAUGCAAGUCGAACGGACAGUCCAGCAAUGGUCUGUUAGUGGCGAACGGUCGCGUAACACGUAGGCAACCUGCCCGAAAGUGGGGACAACAGCCUGAAAGGGCUGCUAAUACCGCAUGUGGCCCGGUGGUGGCAUCACUACUGGUCUAAAGCUUAAUGCGCUUUCGGAUGGGCUCGCGGCCUAUCAGGUAGUUGGUGGGUAAUGGCCUACCAAGCCGACGACGGGUAGCUGGUCUGAGAGGACGAUCAGCCGGAUUGGGACUGAGAUACGGCCAGACUCCGUACGGGGGCAGCAAUUAGGAAUCUUGCGUCAAGUGGGGCCAACCGUGACGCAGCGACGCCGCGUGCGGAUGAAGGCAGUUCGUGUACGUAACCGUCGUUUUACGGGAAGUAAGUAAUUGACCGGUACCGUCGAAUACGCCCGGACUAACGUACGU